rnacentral:tRNA from 1 species
GAGGGUACAGCUCAGUGGUAGAGUGCUUACCUAGCAUGCAAGAGGUCUUGAGUUCAAUCCCCAGUACCUCCA